AGUUAUGAUAGUCUUAUGCUCAUGUAACUUGCAUGUUUUAUACAUGGUUGAUGAAGUAGCAUGCUCCACUUUAUAAAAAUGUUUUUGCUUUACAGGUAGCCUGAAGCAGAACCGUUUGCUGAAAACUGUCAGUAAGAAAGAGCUGGAGACUUCGCUUGGUAAAUGGUUCACAAAUGCAAGAGACAGAGAAGGCAACCGUGCUUUGAGAGCCCAGCGGGAUCAUGAUCGGAGGGCAGUACAGCCGGAAGUGUGUGCAGCCGAGGAAUCUGCAUAGACCCACCAGUGAACUAUUCCACUUUAGUAAUUCUGUUAUUCCUGUUUCCUGUUUUUUUACUUGAAUUAAUUUAAAUUAAAUGUGAUUUACACA